rnacentral:rRNA from 1 species
GACGAACGCUGGCGGUGUGCUUAACACAUGCAAGUGGUGCGACGAACCAGAGCUUGCUCUGGGGCAAAGCCGCGAACGGGUGAGUAACACGUGGGUAAUCUACCCCGAUGACCGGGACAACCCGAGGAAACUCGGGCUAAUACCGGAUGUGGUGCGGAGACAUAAGUCUCUUCACUAAAGGUAGCUUCGGCUUCCGCAUUGGGAGGGGCCCGCGGCCCAUUAGCUUGUUGGUGGGGUCAAGGCCUACCAAGGCAACGAUGGGUAGCUGGUCUGAGAGGACGAUCAGCCACACUGGGACUGAGACACGGCCCAGACUCCUACGGGAGGCAGCAGUGGGGAAUCUUGCACAAUGCGCGAAAGCGUGACGCAGCAACACCGCGUGAGGGAAGAAGGCCUUAGGGUUGUAAACCUCUUUCAGAUGGGACGAAGGUUCUCCGGUGAAUAGCCGAGAGGAUUGACGGUACCGUCAGAAGAAGCUCCGGCUAACUACGUG